rnacentral:rRNA from 1 species
AUUAGAGACUUUUGAAGAAGGUAUUAUUUUAGKGCASUUUGGGGGGUCAAAAAUUUUUUGUUUAGUAAUAUGGGGGUAUGUACCUUUGGUAUCAGGGUGUAUUAAAAAUAUUGAUAUAUUUUGUUUUCCCGAAAUAGAGUGAGUUACGUGGCUAAGUCUUUAUUGUGGCAUAAAUAAGGGCAAUGGUUAAUGUAGUAGUGAGAUGCUAUUCGGGCUUUAAGGUAUCUGGUUUUUAUAGAAAUUAUGGAGAUGGGUGUUAGGCUAUUAUUAGUCUAAUAUAAAGUUUGUUAGGGAUAAGCUUAAUGUUCUAUUUCUAUAUCAGUGUGUGUUUAUUGAGUAUCAUAGGCUUAAGGGUAGCUUUGUGUUUUAUAACAUAUUUUUUUCGUAUUUUAUUAGUUAGGUAUAUAGAGAUGUUUAUAGCUGUUUAUUAGUACUAAUAAUGAUAUAAUCAGUAGAGUCAAUUUUAGGUUUAAAAUUUAAGUAAAGAAUAUUGAUGUAUGGAUUAUUUGGGUGCUAAUGAGGAACUCGGCAAAUUUAUUUUUUAACUGUUUAUCAAAAACAUUUCCUUAAGAGUGUAGUUAAGGUAUAUUCUGCCCCCUG